UCGACUCAAGAAUCGUAAAGAGGCCAACAGUUGAAGCCUGAAACAAGGAAGCAAAUCAAUUCAAGGAUGGCUAGAUGUAGUGCUGGCGCACCUGAACGAAUUGACAGCGAUGACAACAUGGAUGUUUAAUAGCUUAGUGUGACGCCCAAGCCUUGGUGUGUGCCACCAUCCUUGAAGGUUCUAAAUUCAUGGAGACUUGUAUGAAUGCUUGUAGAUAUUUCCAUGUAAUUAAUGAGUUAGGUGGUAGUUGAGUUAAUUCUAGGCCACCAUUUAGGCCACUAUCCAUGAAGGUUCUAGAUUCAUGGCCAAGAUACAACAAGAAAUACAAAAAUUCUAGAACACAAAACAUUGUAAGCUUUCUUUGAGCAAUAAGAGUUCUUUCCUCCCAUCUUGUGCAAGUUUGAAUGAGUGCUCUUUUCUACUUUAAAAUCUAGCAACAGAUUGAGUAUGCAAGGCUGACUUAGGGCUAAGAGAGUGGGAUUUGGCUCUUAAGGCCACACGGUACAGUGAGAGAACAAA
rnacentral:lncRNA from 1 species